UGUAAUUGUGCACAUAAUAUUUAAUUUUACUAUAAGCUAUAACAUUUAAAAUUUAUGGUGAUUUAACAUUUUAUUUUUUUAAUUAAAACAUUAUCAACAUAAGAAACUAUCAUUAUAAAAAUUUGAAUUGUUGCUUGUGCUUUAGUUACCACGAAUUUUUUUACUUUAUAUAGUAAAAAUUUAAAUAAAUAUGUAAUGUUAUCUAUAGGAUUACCUUUCUUAUCAUCAAAACAUUCUCA
rnacentral:lncRNA from 1 species